rnacentral:rRNA from 1 species
UCAAUUCAGAUCGUUCUAAAAUUAUUUUAUUAUUUUAUUUAUUUGAUGUUUAUUUAUAUAUAAUAAAAGUAUUUUUGUUAAUUGGUGUUUUAGUAUAUUUUUGGGAUAAUUAUUUGAAUUAUAGAUUAUUAGUAAGGUGAUUGGAUUUUAUUAAUUUUUUUGUAAGUAGAUUUAUUUUAUUUUACCUUUUGUAUCAGGGUUGAUCAAAUUUAUAUUAUUUAUUUAUUUAUCUCGAUUUAAUUAGAUCUAUAUAAAUAUUUUAUUUAAUGUUUAAUAAUUAUUAAUAAUAUUUAUAUAGUGGUGAUAUGUUAUUCGUUAAUUAAGAUAUCUAGUUACUUAAGAUUAAAUUUAAUUUUACCAGUUAUGUUAAUUAAUAAUUUUUAUUAUUAUUUAUUAUUGCUGUUUAUUUGUAUAAGGGAUAAGCUUUGUAUAUUAUUCUAUAAUUACUAAUUAUUAAUUAAAAAAAUAGGCUUUAAACCAGCUAUUUUAAAAUUACGUUUCAGUUUAUUAUUAUUUAUUUGAUUUUAUAAUUAUUUUAGAUUAUUAAUUAAGUUAAAUCUUUUAAUUUUAUAAAGUUAGAGUUAAUGAUUAGAUUAGUAAAUUAUUUUAGUAACUUUAAAAUUUAUUAUUAAUUUUAAUUUAAGGAAUUAGGCAAUUUAAGUUCUCGCCUGUUUAUCAAAAACAUGUCUUUUUGAUUUUAAUUUAAAGUCAUACCUGCUCACUGAUAUUUUAAAUGGCCGCGGUAUUUUGACCGUGCAAAGGUAGCAUAAUCAUUAGUCUUUUAAUUAAAGUCUGGUAUGAAUGGUUUGACGAAGGAUUUACUGUCUCAUUUUAAUUUGUUGAAUUUAACUUUUAAGUUAAAAGGCUUAAAUUCAGUUUAAGGACGAGAAGACCCUAUAGAGCUUUAUAAAUCAUAAUUAAUAUAGUAUUUAUGUUUAUUUCCUAAUAAUUAAUUAUUAUUUGAUUGGGGAGAUUGAGAAAAUAAUUAAACUUUCUUUUAAUAAUUUCACUAAUAUGUGUACUAAUGAUCCGUAAAUUGCGAUUAAAAGAUUAAGUUACCUUAGGGAUAACAGCGUAAUCAUUUUGGAGAGUUCAUAUCGAUAAAGUGGAUUACGACCUCGAUGUUGGAUUAAGAAAAAUAUAUGGUGCAUAGUUUAUAUAAUUAGGUCUGUUCGACCUUUAAAUUCUUACAUGAUCUGAGUUCAGACCGGCGUGAGCCAGGUCGGUUUCUAUCCUGAAUUAAUUAAAUUAUAUUAGUACGAAAGGACCAUAUGGUUGGGUAAUUCUUUUAUUAAUGACAAUUAUUAAUAUAUAU